rnacentral:rRNA from 1 species
CUGAGACCUGAUGCCGAGCCGAUUGUGGUGAAGUGGAUGAUCCUAUGCUGUCGAGAAAAGCCUCUAGCGAGUUUCAUGGCGGCCCGUACCCUAAACCGACUCAGGUGGUCUGGUAGAGAAUACCGAGGCGUUCGGGUGAACUAUGGUUAAGGAACUCGGCAAAAUGCCCCCGUAACUUCGGGAGAAGGGGGGCCAUCACUGGUGAUCCGAUUUACUCGGUGAGCUGGGGGUGGCCGCAGAGACCAGCGAGAAGCGACUGUUUACUAAAAACACAGGUCCGUGCGAAGCCGUAAGGCGAUGUAUACGGACUGACGCCUGCCCGGUGCUGGAACGUUAAGGGGACCGGUUAGUCACUCUUCGGGGUGGCGAAGCUGAGAACUUAAGCGCCAGUAAACGGCGGUGGUAACUAUAACCAUCCUAAGGUAGCGAAAUUCCUUGUCGGGUAAGUUCCGACCUGCACGAAUGGCGUAACGACUUCUCGACUGUCUCAACCAUAGGCCCGGUGAAAUUGCACUACGAGUAAAGAUGCUCGUUUCGCGCAGCAGGACGGAAAGACCCCGGGACCUUUACUACAGUUUGAUAUUGGUGUUCGGUUCGGCUUGUGUAGGAUAGCUGGGAGACUGUGAAGCUCGGACGCCAGUUCGGGUGGAGUCGUCGUUGAAAUACCAGUCUGGUCGUGCUGGAUGUCUAACCCGGGUCCGUGAUCCGGAUCGGGGACAGUGUCUGAUGGGUAGUUUAACUGGGGCGGUUGCCUCCCAAAGGGUAACGGAGGCGCCCAAAGGUUCCCUCAGCCUGGUUGGCAAUCAGGUGGUGAGUGUAAGUGCACAAGGGAGCUUGACUGUGAGACCGACGGGUCGAGCAGGGACGAAAGUCGGGACUAGUGAUCCGGCGGUGGCUUGUGGAAGCGCCGUCGCUCAACGGAUAAAAGGUACCCCGGGGAUAACAGGCUGAUCUUCCCCAAGAGUCCAUAUCGACGGGAUGGUUUGGCACCUCGAUGUCGGCUCGUCGCAUCCUGGGGCUGGAGUCGGUCCCAAGGG